UGGGUCCUGGAUGAGUGGCGAACGGGUGAGUAACACGUGAGUAACCUGCCCCCUUCUUCUGGAUAACCGCAUGAAAGUGUGGCUAAUACGGGAUAUUCUGGGUCUGUCGCAUGGUGGGCCUGGGAAAGAUUGCGUCUUUUUGGUGUUUUUGGUGGGGGAUGGGCUCGCGGCCUAUCAGCUUGUUGGUGGGGUGAUGGCCUACCAAGGCGGUGACGGGUAGCCGGCCUGAGAGGGUGGACGGUCACACUGGGACUGAGACACGGCCCAGACUCCUACGGGAGGCAGCAGUGGGGAAUAUUGCACAAUGGGCGCAAGCCUGAUGCAGCGACGCCGCUUGAGGGAUGGAGGCCUUCGGGUUGUGAACCUCUUUCGCCAGUGAAGCAGGCCUGCUCCUUUUUUGUGGGUGGGUUGACGGUAGCUGGAUAAGAAGCGCCGGCUAACUACGUGCCAGCAGCCGCGGUAAUACGUAGGGCGCGAGCGUUGUCCGGAAUUAUUGGGCGUAAAGAGCUCGUAGGCGGCUGGUCGCGUCUGUCGUGAAAUCCUCUGGCUUAACUGGGGGCUUGCGGUGGGUACGGGCCGGCUUGAGUGCGGUAGGGGAGGCUGGAACUCCUGGUGUAGCGGUGGAAUGCGCAGAUAUCAGGAAGAACACCGGUGGCGAAGGCGGGUCUCUGGGCCGUUACUGACGCUGAGGAGCGAAAGCGUGGGGAGCGAACAGGAUUAGAUACCCUGGUAGUCCACGCCGUAAACGUUGGGCACUAGGUGUGGGGGGCCUUUUCCGGGUCUUCCGCGCCGUAGCUAACGCAUUAAGUGCCCCGCCUGGGGAGUACGGCCGCAAGGCUAAAACUCAAAGGAAUUGACGGGGGCCCGCACAAGCGGCGGAGCAUGCGGAUUAAUUCGAUGCAACGCGAAGAACCUUACCAAGGCUUGACAUGUGCCGGUCUGCUCCGGAGACGGGGUUUCCUCCCUUGUGGGGGCUGGUUCACAGGUGGUGCAUGGUUGUCGUCAGCUCGUGUCGUGAGAUGUUGGGUUAAGUCCCGCAACGAGCGCAACCCUUGUCUCGUGUUGCCAGCACGUUGUGGUGGGGACUCGCGGGAGACUGCCGGGGUCAACUCGGAGGAAGGUGGGGAUGACGUCAAAUCAUCAUGCCCCUUAUGUCUUGGGCUUCACGCAUGCUACAAUGGCCGGUACAGAGGGCUGCGAUACCGUGAGGUGGAGCGAAUCCCUUAAAGCCGGUCUCAGUUCGGAUCGGUGUCUGCAACUCGACACCGUGAAGUUGGAGUCGCUAGUAAUCGCAGAUCAGCAACGCUGCGGUGAAUACGUUCUCGGGCCUUGUACACACCGCCCGUCACGUCAUGAAAGUCGG
rnacentral:rRNA from 1 species